rnacentral:tRNA from 1 species
UCCCUGGCAGCUCAGGCAGUAAAGCAUCUGCCUGCAAUGCAGGAGACCUGGGUUUGAUCCCUGGGUAGGGAA